CCCACGCCGUCAUCCGGCUGCACGUGCUGCUGGGCCUGAUUGUGUGUGUGUUUGUGCGAGAAGUAUGUGCGGAAAUCACUGAUUCCGCUGUGUGUGGAAAACAUCACUCGCUAACGUCGUUCCCUGUUCCGAGAGGAGGCAGCAGAGCGAUCUCAGGCAGCGGCGGCAGUCUCUUGCGACCCGGACGCGCGCGGUGUUUGUUAUCGAGUUCUCGUCCCCCGGUAGCGGGAUGGUGGUAGAAGCGCAUUGGUGAUACAGUGUUGCCGGGCGGUAAACAGCAUUUUCCCCGCAAGGAUUUAGCUUGAUGCUGCUCCAAACCGACAAUUCGCAGCGGCCGCAUCGAUAUCACACGUCGUAACCGCCGGUUCAAGAUAAAAUCACCAUCUCCGUACAGGCGGCACCAACGGGUUUCGAGCAGCCACCCGGUCGUCGUCACGAUCAGUAGUCGUCGGCUUACGCGCGCGCGCGCCAACCUUUACCGGCAGCAGGAUGACGAAGAAGUUCGAGUUCAACUGGCAGAUCCCGGUGCCGGAACCGCUCCUCACCGGAUGCGUGUUCGAUCGCUGGACGGAGGAGAAGGACAACAACGAGCUGGAGCCGAACUGCACGUUCAAGGUGGACGAGUACGGGUUCUUCAUCUACUGGAAAAGCGAAGGCCGGGAAGGUGACGUUAUUGAGUUAUGUCAAGUGAGCGAUAUCAGAGCGGGCGGAAUGCCGAGGGACAUGAAGCUGUACAAUCAAUUGUGCAACAAGCACGGCGAAAAUGUGGAGGAAAAAUCUCUGACCAUCUGUUCGGGCACGGACUACAUCAACAUCAACUAUCAGCAUGUCGUCUGUCCGGACGCAGCAACGGCCAAGAUCUGGGUGGAUGGUUUGCGCAAAAUCACUCACAACGGUAAAGCCAACAAUUUCUGCCCAAUGACAGCACUCAAAAAGCAUUGGAUGCGGUUGGGAUUUCUAGUCGAUCCGCGUGGAAAAGUUCCCGUGAAGGUGGUCGCCCGAACGUUUGCCUCCGGCAAAACGGAAAAAUUGGUCUACCAGAUUCUGUCCGAUCUGGGGUUACCGAGCGGCAAGAACGAUGCGAUCGAGAAAGACGACUUUACGUUCGAGAAGUUCUACGAGCUGUACCACAAGAUCUGUCCCCGUAACGAUAUCGAGGAGCUGUUCCGGUCCAUCACGCAGGGCAAAGCGAACUCCAUCAAUAUGGAUCAAUUUAUCAACUUUCUGAACGAAAAGCAGCGCGAUCCGCGAUUGAACGAGAUCCUCUACCCGCUGUACGAUGAGAAGCGAGCGCUCGAAAUUAUCACCACGUAUGAGCAGAACGAUGAAGCGCGGGAAGCAAAAACCCUCACCAAGGACGGGCUGAUUCGGUACCUUAUGUCGGACGAGAACGCGCCCGUCUUUCUGGAUCGUCUCGACAUCUACAUGGACAUGGAUCAACCGCUGUCGCAUUACUACAUCAACUCGUCCCACAACACGUACCUGUCCGGCCGCCAGUUCGGAGGCAAAAGCUCGGUCGAGAUGUACCGGCAGACGCUGCUGGCUGGGUGUCGGUGUGUCGAGCUGGACUGCUGGGAUGGAAAGGGCGAGGACGAGGAACCGAUCAUCACGCACGGUAUGGCGAUGUGUACCGACAUUCUGUUUAAGGAUGUGAUCUAUGCGCUGCGUGACACGGCCUUCGUCACCUCCGACUAUCCGGUGAUACUAUCGUUCGAAAAUCACUGCUGCAAAUCGCAGCAGUACAAGCUGGCGAAGUACUGUGACGAGAUUCUGGGCGAUCUGCUGCUGAAGGAACCGAUUCAAGAUUUUCCGCUCGAUCCGGGCGCAGCACUGCCUCCACCGUCCCUGCUGAAGCGAAAGAUCCUCAUCAAGAACAAGCGGCUAAAGCCCGAGGUGGAAAAGAAGGAGCUGGAGCUGUUCCUGCAAGGCGAGUUCGUGAUCGAGGACGAGGACAAGGAGGAUGCGAGCGCGGUACCGGUGGACGUGACAAAAAUUACCGAGCUGGCGGCCCCGGCAGCAGCGGCCGUAGCACCGGUGGCAGCAGCGGCCGCGUCUCAGGACGGUGGCGAGGAAGCGCCAAUCCAAUACACCGGUUCAACGACGAACGUCCAUCCGUGGCUUUCGUCGAUGGUGAACUAUGCGCAGCCGGUCAAAUUCCAAACGUUCGAUUACGCGGAAAAGAAGAACGUGCACCACAACAUGUCGUCGUUCGCGGAGACGACCGGUAUGAAUCUGCUGAAGUCGCAGGCGAUCGAGUUCGUCAACUACAACAAGCGGCAGAUGUCGCGCAUCUAUCCGAAGGGAACCCGGGCUGAUUCGUCCAACUAUAUGCCGCAGGUGUUCUGGAAUGCCGGCUGCCAGAUGGUGUCACUCAACUUCCAAACGUCCGAUUUGCCGAUGCAGCUGAAUCAGGGCAAGUUUGAGUAUAAUGGCAACUGCGGUUAUCUGCUGAAGCCGGACUUCAUGCGGCGUGCGGACCGUAGCUUCGACCCGUUCGCGGACGCACCGGUCGACGGUGUGAUUGCGGCAUCCUGCGCGGUACAGGUUAUUGCCGGUCAGUUCCUUUCGGACAAGAAGGUGGGCACGUACGUCGAGGUGGACAUGUACGGUUUGCCGUCCGACACAGUGCGCAAGGAGUUCCGCACGCGCAUGGUCCCGGCCAACGGGUUGAACCCGGUGUACAACGAGGAACCGUUUCUGUUCCGCAAGGUAGUGCUGCCCGAUCUGGCCGUGUUGCGUUUCGGUGUGUACGAUGAGAAUGGUAAACUGCUCGGACAACGGAUCCUGCCGCUGGACGGUUUGCAGGGUGGCUACCGGCACAUCUCGCUCCGCACGGAAGCCAACUUCCCGAUGUCGCUACCGAUGCUGUUCUGUAACAUUGAGCUAAAAAUCUACGUGCCGGAUGGCUUCGAAGACUUUAUGGAUGCGCUGUCGGAUCCGCGUGCCUUCAUGGGUGCCGCCAAGGAGCGCUCGGACAACAUGAAGGCGAUGGGUAUCGAGGAGACCGGCAAGAAGGACAAGGAAGAGCAGGCCAGGAAGGAGGAACAGCGCGUCACGGAACCACCGCUCGUGUUCGACCCGAUCACGGUGGACUCGUUGCGGCAGGAGAAGGGCUUCCAGAAGACGGCCAAAAAGCAACAGAAGGAACUGGACGCGGUAAAGAAGAAGCACGCCAAGGAGCGGGCCGGCGUGCAGAAGCAACAGAAUGCGGCGAUCGAGCGGUUGAUCAAGGGCAAAAGCAAGGACGAGAUUAAAGCCGACCCGGCGGUACGCAAACUGAUACAGGAGCAGAACACGCAGUGGACGGAAAUGGCCGAGCGGCAUAAGAAGGAGGAGUGGGAGCUGCUGAAGCAGCAGCUCGCUGACCAGCAGGAUAUUCUGCGCAAGCUGAUGGAAACAACGCAGGCCGCCCAGAUGAAGCAGCUCGAGGCGAAACACGAGCGGGAGAUUAAGGAGCUGAACAGUCGCCAGGCGAAGAUCUCGGUCGAAACGUCGAAGGAGGUCGCCAACGACAAAACGCUCAAGACCAAGGGCGAGAAGGAUCGGCGGCUGCGCGAGAAGAAGCAGAACAACAUUAAGCGCUUCAUGGACGAGAAAAAGACUGCCACCAUCAAGCAGAAUCGGGAGAAGGAAAAGCUGAAAGUAACCCACGACAAGCAGCUGGAGGAGUUGGCGAACGAUGUGCAAAAGCUGUCGGCUAGCGGCUGUAGGCUUAUUAGUAGCGGCAGUAGCACUAGCAUUAAUUUCGAACAAAAAUCCACGAGCAGCGCAUCGAUACCGACAGCAAGCGGGCCAACGGAGACGGUAGUAUCGCCUCCCGUUCCAUUUCGUAGCUUCUCCACCAUUCCGCCACCGUCCGCGCAGCAUCUGAUCCGAUUGAACACGAUCGAGGAGGCAAGAAAGCGCGAGGAAGCCAAACAAUCGAAUUGUCCCUGCGUUUGUUCGUGAAGGGAACGGAUGGAGAAAGUGAAGUAGUGGUCACUUUUCAUCAUCUUUUCGAAAACGAUUCGCCAAUAGCUGUUCCUUUAGGUGUCCCGUACUAUGUCGGCUGUGGAAUUCGAUUACGAAGACGAUGCUUUCCGUAGUGCCAAAUGCAUAAGUAUUAUUUAGUAAAUCUCAUCGAAAUGUACAAAGUGGACGAGGAGGAAUAUAAGCUGGCAUCGAAAUACGAAUUUUUCGCCUAAACGUUGCGCACCACCUUCACCGUAUGCUCCUCGGUCCGGGUCAACCGGAGAUUAAAUGAAACGAAAAACAAAAUGGUCAACUCCACAAGACAGCCAGCGCCCCAUCCGUGCAAUGCAUUAUGGCGGUUACGCCAAACACUAUGCCAAGGAGAGAAAGCCCGAGCAGCAAACCCAAUGAAAGGAAAUGCCAUCCGUAUCCUUACCCACAAUGUGCGUGUGUGUGUGUGAACAGUAGAAUGCAUGCUAAUGGCAACGAGUAAACUACAAAAAAAACCAUACACACACACACACACACACACGGAUAGAACUUAUACACACAUAUUAGUAUAUCUAGAGAGAGAAACACAGAGACAUACACCACGUACUUUAUGAAUGAGCGGGAACAAAUUGUUGAAGCGAACCAGGCGCCUCCAUUUCACUUCGGCACCGGACGAAGAGUUCCUUUCGAGUCUUUUUUUCUGUAUUAUCUCCAAGGUCACUCUGCAAUGUGUUCUAACUGUAUCUCUUUGUUUUUUUUGUGUUAAUUUUUAUUUUAUCAUUAUUAAGACCCAUGCACAUGAUGGCUUUUUAAACCUUACGAUCGACACACAUUUUGCGUUAAACUUCUCUCUACAUUUAGAGUUUUUUUUAUUUAAAUUAAGUUAGCUUAGUUAGCUCUAUCCUUUCAACCAUGUCAAUUGAUAAAAUAUUCUCUAGUUGUUUCUUUCUCGCCUUUCGUUUACGUUUGUAUUGUGCACCCCAUUCACUUUAAUACACAAAUGCACCGUUAUCUUUCCUCUUCGUUGUGUAGAGUAGGGUUGAGCGAGAGUAAUUAGAACAAGUAUAAUAAGCAACACAACACAAGUCGCUGGCUAGCAAUGUGUUACUACUACACCGUUUAUAUCAAAUCUUCAAGGAGGUGUGUUAAUAAUCAAUGCGAUUAUAAUGGUCCAAUACUGCUGCAAUCUGAAAUGGUGUGUUUGUGUGUGAAUGUAGAAACAAACAUUAAGCCUAAUAAGAAAAUACAUAAUAUAGCAUGGACAGUGAAACUGAAACCAAAACCCCACUCCUAGUAAAGCAAAAUCUGUAAGUUUGGUGGAAAAUCCACGCACCUUCCCUUUCACGAACCUUGCUGUGUGCACACGUGCGUGUAUGAGUGCGUAUGUGUGUGUGUGUAUGUGUGCGUGAGUGCGUGUGAGGUGAUUACCGGCAAAAAUUAUAUGAAUUACAGUUUUAAAGAAACACAGUACUAUGAAAUUAAGCAAAGCAAAACAGAAGAACAAAACCAAACGUAACCAAACUGAUAUAACCCCAUUUUUUAGAUAUAUAAGAUAAGUACGGUUUUUUUUUGCGGAUAAGAAGACGAAUAAGAAAAAAAACCCCGCAGAAGGAGGGGGUGAAAUUUGUUAAAAGUCGAAACAUUCGCUAGAAGCUAUCGGAAUGAUGGAAGAUAGAAAUAACAGUUAGAACCAAAAAAAAAACACCCACACACACACACAUACGUUUAGCAGAAGAUAGAACAAAAUCAAAAGCAAAUCGAAAGAUAAAGAAAGGUAAAGUAAAUGUAAUUUUAAGCAGCAAACAACCAAAAACUUGGCAGUAAUAGAAGCAGAUUGGGAGAAGAAGGAGAAAAAAAAUGAUAAUGCAAAAGGAUACGAAUUGGAAAAGAACAGAAUGGAACAAAACCAAAAGGGAUAAAUGUACGUCACAAAGGAUGUUGGUGGAUUUUAUAUAUGCUUUCCCGUUACAUACUUUCAAUAUCUGUCCAGGUACAGAUGCCAAUAGCACAGGUACACUUUCUUGUUAGAAGUUGUAUUUUUCUUUCAUGAAAUUAAAAACAAAAAAAAAACACACACACACAUAGGAUAGUAAUUUAAAUUUUAGUCAAAUUGCUUAUCGAUUUGGGCAGGCCUAAGAUCAUAAAAGGAGGUUUGCAAGCUAAGAGGAAUGUUGACGGUGUGCGUGUUGUGAGUGUGGGUUUGUGUGAGGGGGAACUAGCUUGUAUUACUGCAUUACUGUUUAUUAUUCUAGAACUGGAAACACAUUAAGAGACAGACAGAUAUAAGAUAGAACAAACAAGCAAGGAACAAUACUUGUACCUUCGUAUCUUAACUUCGUAAGCUUAACUAACGAUUGAGAGUCAUAUUAGUGCCUAUUUCGAGUGCAGCUACGAACUGCGAUAAUUCCCCAAUUCCUUUGAUCCUUUGGAUCAGGCAAGGGGAGAAUCGAUCGGUGGUGUGGCAGCUCGAUUCCACGUCCUGCCGUGUCACUGCACGCCACGGUGUUG